rnacentral:rRNA from 1 species
CAGCAGCCACGGUAAUACGAAGGGGGCUAGCGUUGUUCGGAAUUACUGGGCGUAAAGCGCACGUAGGCGGACAUUUAAGUCAGGGGUGAAAUCCCGGGGCUCAACCCCGGAACUGCCUUUGAUACUGGGUGUCUUGAGUGUGGAAGAGGUCAGUGGAAUUGCGAGUGUAGAGGUGAAAUUCGUAGAUAUUCGCAGGAACACCAGUGGCGAAGGCGGCUGACUGGUCCACAACUGACGCUGAGGUGCGAAAGCGUGGGGAGCAAACAGGAUUAGAUACCCCAGUAGUCCCUGUCUCUUAUAC